CAUUAGUUAGCAUCAUAACACCUUCCUACGCAAACAAAGCGGCGUCGUAUUGACUUCCUGGUGAACGCCCGACAUGUCCGCAGCUUGCUCACUUCUACUGGCUUGAUUCACUUGGUCCAAUUUGCAAGUGCUGCAGGCUUACAUAAGGUUGACAAUUUCAAACAAAGGGCCAAGUGACUAAGAUAAUGUCUAUGAACCCAUAGAUUCCUGUUUAUUCCACACUGCUUCCAAUGAAGAACUAAAAAUACACCGUGAAUAACAAAAGAUGGUUUUCAAGGAUGGACACUAGCUAGAAUAAUUGGAAAAAGAA